rnacentral:lncRNA from 1 species
ACAACUCUAAAACAACCUAUAUUAAGGAACUAAACGGAAGGAGUACUACACUUGCAUUACCGACCUAAGCACGCAAAACCAUGAUUCGAUUCUGUUUUCAAUUAAGUCAGCCAAUGCAUGGCGCGCAUAACAAUAGACGAAUUUGAAGAAAAAUUCGACAUACUUUUGAUAAUUACUUACAAUUACUAAUUAUAAUACCCUUCGUGUCUCCUUUUCCAGCUGAUGGUACCUGUGCAGACGUAUCACUAGAAUGCAUCUUCAUGAAUAUGCAAGAGAAACAGCCCUUCCUAGAUACUCUCUCCAUUCCUUAAUAUAAAUCUUUUUAGAGAAAUAUUUUUGUUCCUUAAUAUAAGUCGUUUGAGAAUUUCAAGUAAGCAUUAAUUGCUUAGUUUUCAAUAUUACCCUAAGUAUUAAAUGUAACUUUGGUUCUCUCACUAUUUUAUGUCCAAUAAAUAACAAUAUUUUAUUCCAAUACAAGGGUAAUAUAGACAAUUAAUAUUAUAGUUAAUACUAUACAAUUAUUUUCUUAAUACUUAUGCACAACUCUAAAAAGACUUAUAUUAAAGAAUGGAUGGAGUAUUAUUUUUGCUUCUUCAUCAACAACUUCAUUCAUAGCUCUUUCUUUUUCCACCUUUUCUUUAUGCUGCUUCCUCAUAACAUAAACUUCAGCAAGACUAUGUCCUACUGAUGCCAUGGGUAUGGCAAAGAGAACAAAGAACAAAUUUAUUGGGUUAUUCUAUUUUAUU